rnacentral:rRNA from 1 species
GAUGAACGCUGGCGGCGUGCCUAAUACAUGCAAGUCGAACGAACAGACGAGGAGCUUGCUCCUCUCACGUUAGCCGCGGACGUGUGAGUAACACGUGGAUAACCUACCUAUAAUACUGGGAUAACUUCGGGACACCGGAGCUAAUCCCGGAUAAUAUAUUGAACCGCAUUGUUCAAUAGUGAAAGACGGUUUUGCUGUCACUUAUAGAUGGAUCCGCGCCUCAUUAGCUAGUUGGUAAGGUAAAGGCUUACCAAGGCAACGAUGCGUAGCCGACCUGAGAGGGUGAUCGGCCACCUGGGAACGGAGACACGGACAAGACGCCUACGGGAGGCAGCAGUAGGGAAUCGGACGCAAUGGGCGAAAGUCUGACGGAGCAAGGGCGAGUGAGUGAUGAAGGUGCUCGGAUCGUAAAACUCUGUUAUUAGGGAAGAACAGAUGUGGAAGUAACUAUGCACGGCUUGACGGUAACGAAUCAGAAAGCCACGGCUAACUACGUG